UACAGAGGGGGCGAGCGUUGUUCGGAAUUACUGGGCGUAAAGGGCGCGUAGGCGGCCAACUAAGUCAGACGUGAAAUCCCUCGGCUCAACCGGGGAACUGCGUCUGAUACUGGAUGGCUUGAAUUCGGGAGAGGGAUGCGGAAUUCCAGGUGUAGCGGUGAAAUGCGUAGAUAUCUGGAGGAACACCGGUGGCGAAGGCGGCAUCCUGGACCGAGAUUGACGCUGAUGCGCGAAAGCGUGGGGAGCAAACAGGG
rnacentral:rRNA from 1 species